UUUUCAAAAAGGAAAAAUCAGUCUGUCUGUAGCUUCUGCAUGCCUGUGGCGGGGCGAAGAGUCCUAACAGGCCUGGCUGAAGACGCACAAGCAGCCUGAAGCCCUAGUGACCAGGGACAGCCAGAGCUGAUUCGGAGCCCAGUACCUUGGACUCCCAGUCUUCGACCACCUUGUUCCUCUCCUCGGAAGAGCCAGGCCCCUCCACCGCCGCCCUGCCGUCUCCCUCCUCCUCCUCCUGCGAGCCCCAGGCCUUUUCCCCUGGCCCGCCAGUGCUGCCCCCGCUGCUGCCCCCGCUCCCCGCAGCAUCCGCGCCUCCCGGCCCCGGGACCUCCCGGCGCGCAGGCCUCUACUCAGUCGUCGCCUCCUCCCCGGAGGCCGCCCCGCGCCUGGUGGACUGGCUGCCCAGCUGCCCCUCGACCACCUCUCCCGCCACACGCGGGGAUGACAGGGAGCGGCCGCCGCCCGUCCUGGCACCGGCCCAGGGCCUAGAAAGGAGCUGCGCCCCGCGCCCCGGCGCCGCGGGCAGGGAGGAGGGCACCGUGGACGCGGGUUCAUCCCCGCUGCCCCGCGCCCGGCCCGCCGCUGCGGCGAGCUUGGAGACCAACGUCGGGGACAUCCUGGUGGAGCUGCGGACCAUGAACGGCCACCUGGACGUCAUAGCGCGGGCCCUCACCAAACUGGCCUCGUCCCUGGGGCCCCAGCCUGAGCCCCUGCCGGAUGCUCCUGAUGCCAACUGAUGGAGCUCGGCGAAGCGGGGUCGCCGGGCACCAAGGGAUCCGGGCACCAGGCAUCCCUGCCUGUCCUUCCCCAGCAGCGAAGCGCACGGGGAGGAGCAGUCGCUCUGCGCAGCUGCCUAGCGGAACGCAGGGCCCUAGCGUUUCAGGGUGAAACAGACCCGGGUGAGCCUCCCACCCUCCUCCUCGGCUCUCUCAUGGCGGCACCUGCCCGUCUUCCUGGCCCUUCACAUGCCCUUCUCUUGUCUUGAGCUUCUGGCAGAAAAAGUGCCUGGAGACGGCGGUGGGACCCCGAGAAAGAUGCUCAGAGAAACGCUCUUUCACAUCCCGCACCUGGGACGUUCGCGUGGCGUGGAGGGAGCGGAGCUCGAAGUGUGACAUCAAAGCAGCAGCGAGGCCAGCUCCAGCCUUCUUCCCUGGCGGCGUCGGUGGGGCAUCCGUCUCUGGUGACGUUCACAAGAGGAAAACUGAUGGCUCAAAGUGACUGUCCUGCCCUGUGAUCUGCCCUUUAGCUGAAGAAACAGCAAAACUGGAUCAACUGCGGCAACUGGGAGCAUCAAGUUUUUCUUCAUUUGUUGAUUUGAAUGGUCUUUCAUUCUGAUUUUAACUGACUUCUUUUGCAUUAGGCAACAAUAAAAGACCAAAAUCUUUCGAGAACAAAGAGGAGCUGGCCUAUAAAUCCUAAAUACAGAUGCAGUGAUUGAAAUCUUUGGCCAGAAACCAUCUAGGUAGCUUAUGAAUGUAAAACACACCCUAAGUUUCAUCUACCCCUAAGAGAGAACCACCAUCAAUAUUUUGGCAACUACUCUUUGAAACAUUCGUGUCUACAUACAAAUACCUAUGUGUGCGAAAAUUCACUUAACUGUGAUCAUAGCAUGCCUGCUGUUAUGUAACCUGUUUUUUUAAAUCUUGAUAAUAGAUGAUAGAAAUAUUUUCAUUUAAAAAACAAUGUUAUAUAUAAAGCAAAAUUUACUUAACCAAUUUUCUAUUUAUGCUUCUGAUUUUUCACCAUUAUAUGCAAUGCUGUAUCAAAUCUGAGUAUACAUCUUUUUGCUCUUCUGUUGAAGAGCAUGUUGUAUAAGUAAAUUCCUAGAGGUAUGAUUGCUGGGGUCCAAGGGCAUACACUCCUAACUUCUUUUUUCAGUACUGCUAUGGCUUCACCAAGGUUCAAAAAAGGGAAGUGAAUGAAUGGUAGGAGGAACACUGGGGUUUUGGGGUAGCUCCAUUUAAAAACUGGGAAAAAAAGAAAUAAAACAAAGCUAUCUUUUGAAGAUUACACUUUAAAAUCAGCACACAGCAGGCCAGAACAGAGAUGUGUAAAAGCACGUUGCAGAGAUGAAUUGUGGUCACUCAAGUGAUGAAUGGGUCCGGUCGGGAAACAGAAGCCCUCCUCGGUUUUCACUCUGAGGGGGUUUAAUUGAGGAGUCAGCAGCUGGGUGAUGGAAGGCGUGGAGCAGCAGUGGAGUAAGGUAAGGUUAUCUGAAGACUAGCGGCUGCAGGAAAGCGUGACCAGCUGUGGGCUGGAGGAGCCAAGGGGGAAUGUCUCCUCGGAACCCAGAAUCCAUGUGAUUCCAAGCCACGGCUAUAGAACUGAGCUGCUUCAGCAGGAAGCCAAGAGCAGCACUGCUAGGCCAAAGUCCCUGCCACUGCAUCCACUGCCACUGUCACCCUUGAGUGUCAACAGCACUGUCACAACUGCCUGAGACCCAACCAGAGACCAGCAGGGAGGAACCAGCCAGGCUUUUGGCAGUGCCUCCUCUUCACAGAACCUAACUGAAAGCCUGUUGGAGAGCGUCUGGGAAAUGCAGCAUGUGCAGGCUCACCCUGCUGUGCCAGAGCUGAGCAAAGAAGGCUGGGAACGCAGCCGACAGCAAGUAGGCAAAUGAUCAGUGCGAGUAGUACUGUGGAUCAAAGCGGUGGGAUAGCUAAAGGGAGCAACUGUCACAGCCACGGAGGCUGUGCCCCAAAGAUGGGGCACCACAGAGUGACGUGGGCAGUGCUCAUGCCAUCAGAGGCAGGCUUGGCUCUCUGGACCUAGCCACAGGUAGAACCCUGUGGUGACUGCCACCUCCUGGCUCUCAGGCUAUGUCACUAGAGCAUGCUAUGGGAGACUGGCCUGGAGAAGUGGCUCUGCUGUAGAGCACAGACAGACGGGGCUUCUGGACCUUCCUGGUGGGCUGCUAGACCCUGGACGAGGGCAGGCUAACCAGUGUGCAUUGCCACUCUGGGAGACAGGAAGGCAGCCUGCCCACAAGUCAGAUAAGUCUUAGUCUUUUUGUGCUGCUAUAACAAAAUACCUGAGACUGGGCAAUUUAUAAACAGAAAUGUAUUUCCUCACAGUUCGGGGGACGGGGAAGAUUGAGGAACCUGCAUGCUCAAUGUCUGGUAGGGACUUGGUCUGUGCUUCCAAGAUGGCACCCUUGCUGUGUUCUCACUUGGUGGAAGGUGGAAGGGCACAAAGGAAAAACAUCUUGUCAGUUCCCUCUAGCCCUUUUUAAGGGCAGAGCCCUCAUGGCUUAAUCACUUCUCAGAAGGCCCCCCCUCUUAAUACUGUCACAUGGAGUCUUAGGUUCCAACAUACGGAUUUUGGAGGGACAUAGACAUUCAACCAUAGCCACAUACCUCCGAGGAACUGGCCCUCGGCCAUCUUCCUUUACCAGAAGGACAUCUGCAUAAGUAUUUAUUGGGUCCCUUUCAGGUCCUGUGUUAUGUGUUCUACAACAGGAUCGCAUUUAUUCCUUGCAGUAAUCCUGUGUGCAAGAUUGGGAGAUAGGGCCUAUCACUCCCACUUCACUGAUCAGGAAACUGAGGCAUGAAAAGGUCAAGUGACUUGCCCAUGGUCACACAGCUGGUACCGAACAGAGACUGGACCUGUUUGUCUCCAGGGCCCUGGCUGGGCCAUCCACCUGGAGCUGCCUCUCCCAUUAGACUUCCUCUUGGUGGUGGGUCAAAGCCUUGGGACUUUGAGCUGCCUUUGGCUAGUGGUUCUCCUGCCGGCUGGCAGCAAAGUUGCUUUCUGGAACUAAUAGGUCUCUGAAAAAUGAGAAAAUCCCAGGAAACUGCAGCAGAAACCUGGAAAACAAGGAACCUUACCAAGACCCUCAUCCCACACCAGCCACAUCAGUGUCGGGUGGGGAGGGAGAAAGGAGGUACUGAAGGAGAGGACAAGGUACAGGAAAGAGGAGGAGGGAAGCCAGUGGGCUAUGCCAACCUGAUGCUCUGAAGCACCAAUGGCCCCUAAGCCCUUUAAGGUCAAUGUUGUUCAUCACGUUCUAUGCACAACGUGACUUGGCUGUUACUGUAUGUCAUCACCCUCCUUUUGCCCCCUCGGACCAUCUGACUUCAACAAUCAACUCUUCAUGAAAAUUAGGAAAUGCAAGGAUUUCUCUAGGUCUCUAUGGUGACCGCAUUAGUAUCCUGAGGUCCAAGGGCAUUAGCUACCAAAUUAU